GACGAACGCUGGCGGCGUGCCUAAUACAUGCAAGUAGAACGCUGAAGGAGGAGCUUGCUUCUCUGGAUGAGUUGCGAACGGGUGAGUAACGCGUAGGUAACCUGCCUGGUAGCGGGGGAUAACUAUUGGAAACGAUAGCUAAUACCGCAUAAGAGUAGAUGUUGCAUGACAUUUGCUUAAAAGGUGCAAUUGCAUCACUACCAGAUGGACCUGCGUUGUAUUAGCUAGUUGGUGGGGUAACGGCUCACCAAGGCGACGAUACAUAGCCGACCUGAGAGGGUGAUCGGCCACACUGGGACUGAGACACGGCCCAGACUCCUACGGGAGGCAGCAGUAGGGAAUCUUCGGCAAUGGACGGAAGUCUGACCGAGCAACGCCGCGUGAGUGAAGAAGGUUUUCGGAUCGUAAAGCUCUGUUGUAAGAGAAGGACGAGUGUGAGAGUGGAAAGUUCACACUGUGACGGUAUCUUACCAGAAAAGGACGGCUAACUACGU
rnacentral:rRNA from 1 species